rnacentral:rRNA from 1 species
UACGUAGGGGGCAAGCGUUGUCCGGAAUCAUUGGGCGUAAAGAGCGUGUAGGCGGUCCGGUAAGUCCGCUGUGAAAGUCCAGGGCUCAACCCUGGAAUGCCGGUGGAUACUGUCGGGCUCGAGUCCGGAAGAGGCGAGUGGAAUUCCUGGUGUAGCGGUGAAAUGCGCAGAUAUCAGGAGGAACACCAAUGGCGAAGGCAGCUCGCUGGGACGGUACUGACGCUGAGGCGCGAAAGCGUGGGGAGCGAACAGG